UUGGUUUUUUAGUUGAGUGGUUGGUUGAUUGAUUGGUUUCUUGGUUGACAGUUUGGAUGGCUGUUUAUUUAGUUGGUUGGGUAGUUUGUUGGUUGACAGGUUGACUGUUUGUUUGAUUAGUUGGCUGAGUAGCUAGUUGAGUAGUUGGUGAAUAAUUAGUUGGUUCACAGGUUGGUUGUUUGAUUAGUUGGCCAGGUAGUUGUUUAAUUAAUUGGUCAGGUGGUUGUUCAGUUGAUUUUUUUGCUGGUUUGUUGGUUGGUUUGUUGGUUGGUUAGUUUUUGGUUGGCAGGUUGGUUAAUUGGUUUGCUGGUUGGUUGACGGGUUGAGUGAUUAGUUGGUUUGGUUUGUUGGUUAGUUGACACGUUGGUUGGUUGGUUUGCUGGUUAGUUAACAAGUUGGUUGGUUAGUUGAUUAGUUAGUAGGGUAGUUUAUUUAUUAGUCAGUUGAUUGAUACCUGUUUAAU